rnacentral:rRNA from 1 species
UGGGGAAUUUUGGACAAUGGGCGAAAGCCUGAUCCAGCAAUGCCGCGUGUGUGAAGAAGGCCUUCGGGUUGUAAAGCACUUUUGUCCGGAAAGAAAUGGCUCUGGUUAAUACCUGGGGUCGAUGACGGUACCGGAAGAAUAAGGACCGGCUAACUACGUGCCAGCAGCCGCGGUAAUACGUAGGGUCCAAGCGUUAAUCGGAAUUACUGGGCGUAAAGCGUGCGCAGGCGAUUGUGCAAGACCGAUGUGAAAUCCCCGAGCUUAACUUGGGAAUUGCAUUGGUGACUGCACGGCUAGAGUGUGUCAGAGGGGGGUAGAAUUCCACGUGUAGCAGUGAAAUGCGUAGAGAUGUGGAGGAAUACCGAUGGCGAAGGCAGCCCCCUGGGAUAACACUGACGCUCAUGCACGAAAGCGUGGGGAGCAAACAGGAUUAGAUACCCUGGUAGUCCACGCCCUAAACGAUGUCAACUAGUUGUUGGGGAUUCAUUUCCUUAGUAACGUAGCUAACGCGUGAAGUUGACCGCCUGGGAGUACGGU